UUUAAAUAGAGUUAAUUUAUUUGACUUUAUUAUAAUUUUAAAACUACAUAUUAUUUUCAUUUGGACAGGAUAAUAGAACACUGUACAAUUUAAGAAUGAAAAUUCUAGCCAACAUCAAACUAAAUAGUGAGAGACUUGAAGCAAUCCUACUAAAAUAAGGGAUUAGACAAAGCUACCCACUCUCUCCCAACUUAUUCAAUAUAUUACCUGACAUCCUAGCCAGAGCAAGUAGACAACAAAAGGAGGUCAAAGGGAUACAAAUUGGAAAGGAAGAAGUCGAAAUAUCACCAUUUUCAAAUGAUAUGGUAGUGACCUCAAAAAUUCCACCAGAGAACUCCAAAGCCUGAUAAAAAACUUCAGCAAAGUGGCUGGGUAUAAAAUUAAUGCAAACAAAGUAGUAACCUUCCUCUACUCAAAGGAUAAAUGGGCUGGGAAAGAAAUUAGGGAAACAACACCCUUUCACAGUAGUCACAAAUAAUAUAAAAUACUUUGGUAUGAUUCUAAGCAAGCAAGUGAAAGAUCUGUAUUACAAGAACUUUAAGUCUCUGAAGAAAGAAAUCAAAGAAGAUCUCAGAAGAUGGAAAGAUCGCCCAUGUUCCUGGAUUGGCAGGACUAAUAUAGUAAAAAGGGCCAUCUUGCUGAAAGCUAUCUACAGAUUCAAUGCAAUACCCAUCAAAAUUCAAACUGAAUUCUUCAUAGAGUUAGAAAAAGCUAUUUGCAGUUAGUGCUCUUAACCACUGAGCCAUUUCUCCAGCCCAGAAUACGGCAAAUACAUAGAUAGGCAAAUGCCAGCAGCAAACCACAGAACUGAGAACAGGACCCCCGUUGAAGGAAUCAGAGAAAGGACUGAAAGAGCUGAAGGGGCUUGAGACCCCGUAUGAACAACAAUGCCAAGCAACCAGAGCUUCCAGGGACUAAGCCACUACCUAAAGACUAUACAUGGACUGACCCUGGACUCUGACCUCAUAGGUAGCAUUGAAUAUCCUAGUAAGAGCACCAGUGGAAGGGGAAGCCCUUGGUUUUGCCAAGGCUGGACCCCCAGGGAAUGGGAAUCUUGUGGGGAGGGCAGUAAUGGGGGGAGUAUUGGGAGGGGAACUCCUGUAUAGAAUGGGAGGCAGAGGCGUUAGGGGGAUGGAAACCGGGAAAGGGAAUAACAUAUGAAAUGUAAAUAAGAAAUACCCUAUUUAAUAAAGAUGGGGGAAAAAAGAAAAAAGAAAAAGCUAUUUGCAAAUUCAUUUGGAAUAACAAAAAAGCAAAAACAAAAAAAAACAGGAUAGUGAAAACUAUUCUCAACAAUAAAAGAACUUCUGGGGGAAUCGCCAUCCCUGACCUCAAACUGUAUUACAAAACAAUUAUAAUAAAAACUGUAUGGUAUUGGUACAAAGGAGACAGGCAGGUAGAUUAAUGGAAUGGAAUUGAAGACCCAGAAAUGAACCCACACACCUAUGGUCACUUGAUCUUUGACAAGGGAGCCUAAACCAUCCAAUGGACAGCAUUUUCAACAAAUGGUGCUGGUUCAACUGGAACAAGCAUGUAGAAGAAUACAAAUUGACCCAUUCUUAUCUUCUUGUACAAAGCUCAAGUCCAAGUGGAUCAAAGACUUCCACAUAAAACCAGAUCCACUCAGACUACUAGAAGAGAAAGUGGGGAAGAGCCUUGAACAUAUAAAAACAGGGAGAAAUUUUCCUGAACAGAACACCAAUGACUUAUGCUCUAAGAUCAAGAAUCAACAAAUGGGAUCUCAUAAAUUUGUGAAGCUUCUCUAGGGCAAAGGACACUAUCAAUAGGACAAAAUGGCAACCAACAGAUUGGGAAAAGAUCUUUACCAAUUCUACAUCCGAUAGAGGGCUAAUAUAUAAUACAUACAAAGAAGUUAGAGUCCAGAGAAUCAAAUAAUCCUAUUAAAAAUGAGAUACAGAGCUAAACAACGAAUUCUCAACUGAAGAAUACCAAAUGGCUGAGAAGCACCUAAGAAAUGUUUAACAUCCUUAGUCAUCAGGGAAAUGCAAAUCAAAACAACCCUGAGAUUCCACCUCACAUCAGUCAGAGUGGCUAAGAUCAAAACUCAAGUGACAGCAAAUGCCAUCAACGAUGUGGAGAAAGAGAAACAUUCCUCCAUUGUUGGUGGGAUUGCAAGGUGGUACAACCACUCUAAAAAUCAGUCUGGAGGUUCCUCAGAGAAUUGGACAUAGUACUAUCUGAGGACCCAGCUAUACUACUCCAAAGACAUAGAUUAAUUAAAAUAAAAUCAUUAAGUCAUGUGCCUUUGGUUCUAUAGCUAAUUAGAAGCAAAGCCAAACUUCUACAACAUUAGAGGUGGUGACAUUGAAAUUGGAAACACAGACAGAUCCUGGCUUUCCUGCAAGUAUAGCUGAGGUCGUUCCUCUUGCAGUGAUUUCGAAUAAGCAACGCUGGUCAAAAGCAUUGUGUCUUUCUUACCUGGGGUCAACACAGUCACCAUUAGGGGAAUAAUGAAAACCAUGGUUUUGGCUUCUUUUCCAUUUGUGUGGUUCAGCAGCAUGAGCAAGAUGAAAGCGAGCUUAUAGGCCAGUCAGUAACUUCUUUAGUUUCUUCUGGAGAAUUUUUGUGGCUACGAGAGCCCAGUGUUUGCCUUUGACAUGUCUCCUUUGUCAGUUUUAAGCAUUUCUUGUUGCUUAAUUAGUUUUGGAAAUCAAUAUCAAUGACUUGCAAGGCUCUCAAGUCCCAGGCUCCUGCUUACAAAUGGAUAAUAUGAAAAUAGUGGAUAUUCUGCUUUCACUAGCUCUUUGUCUCCCCAAGCUUCUGGUUCCCUGGGGCUCUCUUAGAAGGAUUAGGGCUCAUUCCAUUAGCACUGAAGAGUCCUAAAACUACUACACAAUGGGUCUCUCCUGCCUUGCUUUACUGAAGUCUAAGCCAUUAGGAUGUGUAUCUCCCCCAAGUGACUCAAUAGAACAAGUCUAUACUUGCCAUUUUCAUUAGUUAAAUGGAAGCCCCCAUGUAUUUGUGUUCUUUCUGGUGAAUAUUGCUGCUGUGUGCCUUUAGAAUAGGCUAAAAUGUCAGCCUGAGUGGGAGAGGGAAGCCCAUUAUGAGCCCUCCUUCUUCCAAAUGGGGAGAGAGCAAGGGUCAUAUAAGUACGGAGUCUCAGAAUUCUACAAGGUUCAAAGUAGACAUGGAUUUGAGCUCUUUUAUGGAGACUUAUUUUUCUUCACUUGCCAAAGCUACGAAUUUCACAUAUUCUGUUUUUGUUUUUCUCUUGAAGCAACCAGGACAAAGAGAUAGAAGCACAGAAAUAAAAGCAUCCAGUUAAGCAUUUUAUGUGGCCUUUGAGUUAAGAUACAGCUGAGGGUGAUCCUGUGUGUCUGGUCUUGAACUUUUGUUCCUCCCUUCCAAAGGUCACAGGUCCCUAACAGUUCGGAUGGAGAGAGACAGUAAUAAUCGAGUUAUUAAUACUCCAUGUGAGGCACUGAAGGUAAGGGUCUUGAUCUGUUAUUCAUUGUGCUUUAAUUAGAACUUUAAGUGAGGGCGGGGGAGAUCGCUCAGCCAUCAAGUUUAAGCACCUCUCUUUCAGAGGACCUGAGUUAAUUCUCAGAGGCCAUAUUUGGUGGCUCACAACUGCCUGUAACUCCAGCUUCAGGGGAUCCAAUACCCUCUUUUGGCCGCUGUAAGCAGUAAGCCUUCCCACAUAUUCUAUCUUCCUCCCAACAAACACAUACAUAUACACUAAAGCUAAAAAUAUAAUUUUUAAAAAGGAGAGACGUAGGUGAUACAAUGCUGUCUCUUCUUGGUUUUCCGGUGCUGUGACCCUACUUUACAGAGCUGUGUGGUGGGGUCUCUUCUGGCUGCUCUUACUGGCUUGUUGUGCUCCUUUGAAUUUUGAGCCAGCCAGGGGAUUUACCACUUCUUAGAAAUGAUACCUAAAACCAACGCUUCCUAAACAUAUUAUAUGAAGAUUAACAAAAUCAUCUUUAGAAAGGUAUUUAUUUCCAAGACGCUGAGACUGUUGGUCCAAGCCAACCAAUAGCUACACUCCCCCAUCCUUCAGCAACAGUAUUACAACUGUGUUCAAAACAUAAGUUUGAAACAACUGUGUUUAAAAUAUAAGUUCUUUAGCCUCAUUUCAGACUGAAAGACUCAGAAGGUUUCAGCCUAGCCAUCUGUUUUUGACAAUCCCUUUAUGAGCUAUAAAGGGUGAAGUUUAAUAACCACUAUCCUAAUAAAAGCUAGAGGAGUGGGAAAUAAAAUAUUCUUGGAUUUUUUUCUCUCCAAGUAAAUUUACUCUACGUUACACCUGACCAUUCUUCUGGACAUCUGCGAUCUAUAUCUGUGAAGAAGACAGUUAUGUCAGAGAAUAAAAAAUGGAUUUAGUAGUCAUGAGGA